rnacentral:tRNA from 1 species
GCGGGCAUCGUAUAAUGGCUAUUACCUCAGCCUUCCGAGCUGAUGAUGCGGGUUCGAUUCCCGCUGCCCGCUCCA